rnacentral:rRNA from 1 species
AUACGUAGGGGGCAAGCGUUAUCCGGAUUUACUGGGUGUAAAGGGAGCGUAGACGGCAAAGCAAGUCUGAAGUGAAAGCCCCGGGCUCAACCCGGGAAUUGCUUUGGAAACUGUUUAGCUAGAGUGCAGGAGAGGUAAGCGGAAUUCCUAGUGUAGCGGUGAAAUGCGUAGAUAUUAGGAGGAACACCGGCGGCGAAGGCGGUUUACUGGACUGUAACGGACGUUGAGGCUCAAAAGCGGGGGGAGAAAACAGGAUUAGAUACCCGGUUAGUCCACGCCGUAAACGAUGAUUACUAGGUGUUGGUUGUCAUAGACAAUCGGUGCCGCAGCAAACGCAAUAAGUAAUCCACCUGGGGAGUACGUUCGCAAGAAUGAAACUCAAAGGAAUUGACGGGG